GCCAGGUGUGGUGGCGCACACCUGUAAUCCCAGCACUUUGGGAGGCUGAGGCAGGCAGAUCACUUGAGGCCAGGAGUUUGAGACUAGCCUGGCCAACAUGGUGAAACCCUGUCUCUA
ensembl:misc_RNA Metazoa_SRP Metazoan signal recognition particle RNA